UACGGGGGGGGCAAGCGUUGUUCGGAAUUACUGGGCGUAAAGGGUUCGUAGGUGGCCUGCUAAGUCAGACGUGAAAUCCCUCAGCUUAACUGGGGAACUGCGUCUGAGACUGGUGGGCUUGAGUGCAGGAGAGGAAUGCGGAAUUCCAGGUGUAGCGGUGAAAUGCGUAGAUAUCUGGAGGAACACCGGUGGCGAAGGCGGCGUUCUGGACUGUUACUGACACUGAUGAACGAAAGCCAGGGGAGCAAACGGG
rnacentral:rRNA from 1 species